AAUCUGCUCCCAUUUUUUCCCUUUCCCACGUUUGUUCCCUUAUUCUCUAAUUUUUCAGGUCGUUGGUAUUGUUCCAGCCUUAGUCAUUGGAUUUUCUUUAUUUUUCUUUCUUUCCCUUGUUUCACGUGGGUUGUGGGUUUAGCAAAGGGUUUUCAAUUGUUAUCUUUUUGCUUACUGGAUCUUCUUCCAAGGGUGUUGUCGUGCGAAGUUUUUGCUUUAGUUCCUUCUCUUUGUUUUGCAUUCGUUUCAUAUUUGAGGUUGGGUGACGAUGGUGAGAAUCGAAACUCCCCUCCCGCGAUUUUGUUGUAUUAGGAGUUGUUGUGGACGAUUGGAGCACUCGGGAUAAAAAACAGUAAAAAUUGGAAAAUCGAAGCAAGCUACAGGAGCCAAACAAGCUGACCCAUUUCACACGGUCUGGCCACACGACCGGUGAUCCACACGGCCAUGUGGUAGACCAUGCCGAUUGCGCAAUAAUAAAUGCCAAAAGUAACAUGUUUUAGCCUUAUUUUUAAUACGUUUUUUGAUGAUUAUUCGAUUUAAAAUGGUGAAUUUUAUGCUUCUA